CGUAGCCGCGGUAAUACGGAGGGAGCUAGCGUUGUUCGGAAUUACUGGGCGUAAAGCGCGCGUAGGCGGUUACUCAAGUCAGAGGUGAAAGCCCGGGGCUCAACCCCGGAACUGCCUUUGAAACUAGGUGACUAGAAUCUUGGAGAGGUCAGUGGAAUUCCGAGUGUAGAGGUGAAAUUCGUAGAUAUUCGGAAGAACACCAGUGGCGAAGGCGACUGACUGGACAAGUAUUGACGCUGAGGUGCGAAAGCGUGGGGAGCAAACAGGAUUAGAUACCCAGUAGUCCCUGUCUCUUAUACAC
rnacentral:rRNA from 1 species